AUUCAAUGUUUAGCGUACUUGAAAGAUAAGACACUAUCUAAAAACUACCAUAAUUCAAUUAUACUGACCUCUUGAUCCGAUCGAAACCAUGCUCUUUCACUUUCGAUUAAUCAAAAACUAAAAGCGUAACAAAAGACGGUCAAAGUUCCGUUUUUUCUUUUUAUUGUAAAGUAAAGUACAUGUUGUAGACAGAUAUUACUCUGUUAAUUGUAACUAACACGCAAUACUACAUGUAUGUAAAAUUAUAAAAAGUUUGCUAAUAAAAUCCCCUGGUUUUAUUGGUAAUUAACCAUACAGGGCAGAAC
rnacentral:lncRNA from 1 species